rnacentral:piRNA from 1 species
AUCUGCAAGUAGCAGGGAUUCCCUAACCGC